GCCUCGUUAGCGCAGUAGGCAGCGCGUCAGUCUCAUAAUCAAAUCUAGAAAUCUGAAGGUCGUGAGUUCGAUCCUCACAUGGGGCA
rfam:Nematostella vectensis strain CH2 x CH6 NEMVEscaffold_644_Cont31246, whole genome shotgun sequence.